rnacentral:rRNA from 1 species
AACGAACGCUGGCGGCAGGCUUAACACAUGCAAGUCGAACGCCCCGCAAGGGGAGUGGCAGACGGGUGAGUAACGCGUGGGAACAUACCCUUUCCUGCGGAAUAGCUCUGGGGAAACUGGAAUUAAUACCGCAUACGCCCUACGGGGGAAAGAUUUAUCGGGGAAGGAUUGGCCCGCGUUGGAUUAGCUAGUUGGUGGGGUAAAGGCCUACCAAGGCGACGAUCCAUAGCUGGUCUGAGAGGAUGAUCAGCCACAUUGGGACUGAGACACGGCCCAAACUCCUACGGGAGGCAGCAGUGGGGAAUAUUGGACAAUGGGCGCAAGCCUGAUCCAGCCAUGCCGCGUGAGUGAUGAAGGCCUUAGGGUUGUAAAGCUCUUUCACCGAUGAAGAUAAUGAUGGUAGUCGGAGAAGAAGCCCCGGCUAACUUCGUGCCAGCCGCCGCCGUAAUAC